rnacentral:rRNA from 1 species
UACGAAGGGGGCUAGCGUUGCUCGGAAUUACUGGGCGUAAAGCGUACGUAGGCGGCUUUCUAAGUCGGGGGUGAAAUCCUGGAGCUCAACUCCAGAACUGCCUUCGAUACUGGAAAGCUCGAGUCCGGGAGAGGUGAGUGGAACUGCGAGUGUAGAGGUGAAAUUCGUAGAUAUUCGCAAGAACACCAGUGGCGAAGGCGGCUCACUGGCCCGAUACUGACGCUGAGGCACGAAAGCGUGGGGAGCAAACAGG